UACGAAGGAUUCGAGCGUUAUCCGGAUUUAUUGGGUUUAAAGGGUGCGUAGGUGGACUAAUAAGUCAGUGGUGAAAGCCCGGAGCUCAACUCCGGAACUGCCAUUGAUACUGUUAGUCUUGAGUACAGUUGAGGUGGGCGGAAUGUGUCAUGUAGCGGUGAAAUGCUUAGAUAUAACACAGAACACCGAUUGCGAAGGCAGCUCACUAAGCUGUAACUGACACUGAGGCACGAAAGCGUGGGGAGCAAACAGG
rnacentral:rRNA from 1 species